CCUACGGGGGGCAGCAGUGGGGAAUAUUGCACAAUGGGGGAAACUCUGAUGCAGCGACGCCGCGUGAGUGAAGAAGUACUUCGUUAUGUAAAGCUCUAUCAGCAGGGAAGAAAAUGACGGUACCUGAGUACGAAGCCCCGGCUAACUACGUGCCAGCAGCCGCGGUAAUACGUAGGGGGCAAGCGUUAUCCGGAUUUACUGGGUGUAAAGGGAACGUAGGCGGAAGUGCAAGUCUGGAGUGAAAGGCGGGGGCUCAACCCCGGGACUGCUCUGGAAACUGUACGGCUGGAGUGCAGGAAGGGAAAGUGGAAUUCCUAGUGUAGCGGUGAAAUGCGUAGAUAUUAGGAGGAACACCAGUGGCGAAGGCGGGUUACUGGACUGUAACUGACGUUGAGGCUCGAAAGCGUGGGGAGCAAACAGGAUUAGUUACCCUUGUAGUC
rnacentral:rRNA from 1 species